rnacentral:rRNA from 1 species
UCCAGACUCCUACGGGAGGCAGCAGUGAGGAAUAUUGGUCAAUGGCCGGAAGGCUGAACCAGCCAAGCCGCGUGAAGGACGAAGGUGCCAAGCAUUGUAAACUUCUUUUGUCAAGGGACAAAAUCAGGCUCGAGAGCCUGACCGAGGGUACUUGAAGAAAAAGCAUCGGCUAACUCCGUGCCAGCAGCCGCGGUAAUACGGAGGAUGCGAGCGUUAUCCGGAUUUAUUGGGUUUAAAGGGUGCGUAGGCGGAGUGCCAGGUCAGCGGUAAAAUCGCGGGGCGCAACCGCGCUCCGCCGUUGAAACUGGCGUUCUUGAGUGGGCGAGAAGUAUGCGGAAUGCGUGGUGUAGCGGGGAAAUGCAUAGAUAUCACGCAGAACUCCGAUUGCGAAGGCAGCAUACCGGCGCCCAACUGACGCUGAAGCACGAAAGCGUGGGUAUCGAACAGGAUUAGAUACCCU